rnacentral:snRNA from 1 species
GUCUCUUCGGAGACAUCCAAUAAAAUUGGAGUGAUAUAGAGAAGAUUAGCAUGGCCCUUGCCCAAGGAUGACACGCGCAAUUCAAGAAAUGGUCCAAAUUUUA